rnacentral:rRNA from 1 species
GAUGAACGCUGGCGGCGUGCCUAAUACAUGCAAGUCGAGCGAACAGACGAGGAGCUUGCUCCUCUGACGUUAGCGGCGGACGGGUGAGUAACACGUGGAUAACCUACCUAUAAGACUGGGAUAACUUCGGGAAACCGGAGCUAAUACCGGAUAAUAUAUUGAACCGCAUGGUUCAAUAGUGAAAGACGGUUUUGCUGUCACUUAUAGAUGGAUCCGCGCCGCAUUAGCUAGUGGGUAAGGUAACGGCUUACCAAGGCGAGGAUGCUUAGCCGACCUGGGAGGGAUAUCGGCCACACUGGAACUAAGACACGGUCCAGACUCCUGCGGGAGGGACCGGUAGGGAAUCUUACGCAAUGGGCGAAAGCCUGACGGAGCAACGCCGCGUGAGUGAUGAAGGUCUUCGGAUCGUAAAACUCUGUUAUUAGGUAAGAACAAAUGUGUAAGUAACUAUGCACGUCUUGACGGUACCUAAUCAGAAAGCCACGGCUAACUACGUG